AUUGAACGCUGGCGGCAGGCCUAACACAUGCAAGUCGAACGAGUGGCGGACGGGUGAGUAAUGUCUGGGAAACUGCCUGAUGGAGGGGGAUAACUACUGGAAACGGUAGCUAAUACCGCAUACCCUCGGAUGUGCCCAGAUGGGAUUAGCUAGAAGGGGGGGUAACGGCUCACCUAGGCGACGAUCCCUAGCUGGUCUGAGAGGAUGACCAGCCACACUGGAACUGAGACCAGGUCCAUACUCCUACGGGAGGCAGCAGUGGUGAAUAUGGCACAAUGGGCGCAAGCCUGAUGCAGCCAUGCCGCGUGUAUGAAGAAGGCCUUCGGGUUGUAAAGUACUUUCAGCGGGGAGGCGUUACCCGCAGAAGAAGCACCGGCUAACUCCGUGGCAGCCGCCGCGGUAAUUC
rnacentral:rRNA from 1 species